GACGAACGCUGGCGGCGUGCUUAACACAUGCAAGUCGAACGGAAAGACCCUGCUUGCAGGGUACUCGAGUGGCGAACGGGUGAGUAACACGUGGGUGAUCUGCCCUGCACUUCGGGAUAAGCUUGGGAAACUGGGUCUAAUACCGGAUAGGACCGCACUUUAGUGUGUGUGGUGGAAAGUUUUUUCGGUGUAGGAUGAGCUCGCGGCCUAUCAGCUUGUUGGUGGGGUAAUGGCCUACCAAGGCGGCGACGGGUAGCCGGCCUGAGAGGGUGUACGGCCACAUUGGGACUGAGAUACGGCCCAGACUCCUACGGGAGGCAGCAGUGGGGAAUAUUGCACAAUGGGCGCAAGCCUGAUGCAGCGACGCCGCGUGGGGGAUGAAGGCCUUCGGGUUGUAAACUCCUUUCGCUAGGGACGAAGCUUUUUGUGACGGUACCUAGAUAAGAAGCACCGGCUAACUACGUG
rnacentral:rRNA from 1 species